CGCGCCGUCCCUUAUAGGCACGCGAGCCCCCACAGCUGUGGACAUGUUGGUGUCCCCCGUGAAGCGGGAGAAGAUGGAAUCAGCGCUGGACCAGCUCAAGCACCACACCACGGGCUGCACGAGUGUUAGUCUUCUGCCAGUUCAUUAAGUUGGAGGGGAUAAUCUCCCAGCCAGACAAAGGAAGAUAUUGAAACUGAAGAAGCAGCCUUGAGGAUUUUGGUCAUGGUGCUGAGUACCUAGUUCACUGGAGGCAAAAAAUUCUGAACUCAACAUAUGUCAAGCAAUGAAAAUGCCUCAAGCACAUCAAAUACCAGCCCAUUAUCCAGAUUAAUGAAAGAAACUGAGCUGCAAUGUUCACAGGUCCCCGAGGAUUUCCCCAGAAUUUCCCCAGAAUCUACCAUUUGACAUUAAGGAGUAACGGCCAGAAGAUGUGUCGAAGCAUGUUCUUCAGCAUGUCAAGGUGAACUCUCUCCUCCUUGCUGUGACACCUGGGCUGGCAGGGAGGACACAGUGACCUCAGCCAGCCAAUGCUGCCUGUGCCAUCACCUGGCACUGACAUGCUUGAUGGAAAUCAUUUCGCUGGGAUUUUUCUCCUGAGAAGCCUCAGAACAAAUGGAACCAAUAACAAUGGUUCUGCUGGCUGUGGAGUGUGGGCUGGAGAUGGUUUAGCAACAGGGCCAUCUUGGAUUGGUCUCCUGUGCAUUGUUUCUACUUGAUGACCAAUCAUGGUCCAGCUGUGUCAGGGCUGUGAGCAGUCCCAGGUUUUUAUUAUUCAUUCCUCACCAGCUUUCUGAUGUCGCCUUGCUCUUUUAGUAUAGUUCUAAUAUCUCAUUUUCUUUUAGUAUAAUAGAGAUCAUAAAAUAAUAAAUCAACCUUCUGAAAGGUGGA